GAGAGAGAGAGAGAGAGGUAGAGAGAGAGAGAGAGAGAGAGAGAGAGAGAGAGAGAGAGAGAGAGCUGAUGGUGAGCAUGUACGGAGAUGUGAAUAACCUGAUUUCUCUGUGUGCCAUGUAGCCUAAACAUCACAUCCUGAAUAUGAU